rnacentral:SRP_RNA from 1 species
GCCGGGCGCGGUGGCUCAAGCCUGUAAUCCCAGCACUUUGGGAGGCCGAGACUGGCGGAUCAUGAGGUCAGGAGAUCGAGACCAUCCUGGCUAACACGGCGAAACCCCGUCUCUACUAAAAAANNNNNNNNNNUUUUUUAGUAGAGACGGGGUUUCGCCGUGUUAGCCAGGAUGGUCUCGAUCUCCUGACCUCGUGAUCCACCCGUCUCGGC